AAAAGAUGGAACUGUUUUCAUGAAUUUGAAAUGUUGCACUAUUUGAAGUGUAAUCCACUGUCUCUGCGAAAAUAUAGUUUUCUCUGUAGUAUUGGUUUGUGAAAUGUCUCUGCUCGUAGAUGGCUUCACAGGUACUUAGCCACGAAGGAUAUAGACAUAAUUAUUAUCGACAAUAUGAUUAUUAUAGAGUUAUUGACAUUACCAACAGCAAUAUCAGAUACCGGAAAAUAUUUCUGAAAAUCAAGUCAUUGGUGACAGUACUAGUGGAGGCAUGUAUGUGUAAAGACAGUUGAUAAACAAUAUUCACAGUGGGCAUGAAAUAGGUCCAGCUGCUACUGUGGGAAGUGGGAGCUGUGGGACACACCCAGCAUUCAGGUGGGCCUCAUCUUGGGUUGGAAGGAAGGCAUGUCAUCCUGCAGGUUGGGAACAAGAUAGGGUUUUCUACGAGACCAUGGCCAAUGGCAGUGUCUACUUCCGUUUCUACAAGGUCCACACCUUCCAGACCUUCUCCAGACAUGUGACAAAAAGAGACUACCUAAGCUGGUGCAGAUACAGCCUGUGUACCACCCUAUGCCUUUAGUGGGAACCAGAAACCACAGCGAUUGCUCUCAUGUACCUGGCAGGGAAGGUGAGCAAGUUUGAUGUCGCAGACUGGGUAGUCCACACCUGUAAACACUAAUGCUGGUGCGGCAUGCAUGGUGGAGGGAUCUCCAUGGAGCUGCGGGAAGAUAUCUAUCAGCAGAUGCUCGACUUGUACUCACGCAACUGCUCAAAGGGAGGUGGUACAAGCAGUUAGCCCUCCAUCACCACGUCCUCGGCUUGGCCCAAGAUGCCGAGUAACACUCACACAGUGGAUUUCUUGUCCUGUUGCUGUUACAUUGUUCAUGACCAAGAUAGGUUUUGUUAAUAAAAAUGCAGGUCAUGCUUCUUACAUUGUUACCCUUUGUAUAUGCCUGUGGCCCAGGAAUUGUAUGUGAAACAAAAAUAUUUUUUGCAAGUAUAUGUCCUUUUCAUGUAUAGAAUA